CAAAAACCCACACAAAAACAGACCACUGAUUGAGGGUGGACACACCCUGGCGCUAAGAGCUCGUGUAGAGCUGUCAAACAAAAAAGCGCACGUGAAAAGUGCAGUCGGCGUGCAAGGAAAAGAAGCAUCGAAAUAAGGAGUGAGACGAAGAAGUGCCGGAGCAGGCCGUGCUGCCCGACGACAGAUUGUGCCGGAAAAAGCCUUCGUGAAGAAGGCCGUUUUACCGGAUACCAGCAGCCGGCCAAGGGCCAGACUGUGACAAAGGCAAAACAGCCUGCCUCCGAUUGCCGUGCGGUCAAUUUUCAUCUUUUAUUCGGCAGGAGGGAAAACUUGUAUCAAGAUCACUAAAGAUCCACCCGACAGUGCCGCUCUGCAGUGUGGGCCAUCAGAGAGCCAAUAUAGCCGAACAUUUCGCGCGCCUAGGAGAAAUCCCGGCGGCGCGACGUAUCGCGCAUUUAGUUUCUGCCUCCGAUUGCCGUGCGGUCAAUUUUCGUCUUUAUUCGGCAGGAGGGAAAAUUUUUAUCAAGAUCCCUAAAGAUCCACCCGACAGUGCCGCUCUGCAGUGUGGGCUGCCAGAGAGCCAAUAUAGCUGAACAUUUCGCGCGCCUAGGAGAAAUCCCGGCGGCGCGACGUAUCGCGCAUUCAGUUUCGGCCUCGAACGCUGUGCGGGCAUUAUCGAGCGGAAGAAGGGUGGCGGAACAUACGCGUGCCAAGGAUCAUUCCCGGCGGCGCGGUUUAUCACUGUUACCGGCCACGAGAGCCGAAUUGCGGCUGUAGGUGAUUUCGUCAUUGUGUUGCUGUUAGUUUUUUAAAGGGACGAGCCGAAGAAGUUGAGCUCGACCAACCCGUGCACAGGAUCAUCCCGGCGGCGCGACUGAUCGUGUUUUCCUCGGCCAAAAGAGCCGUGCCGACAUUGGCCGAACAAACGUGCGCCCAGGAUCAUUCCCGGCGGCGCGAUUCAUCUGCGUUUCCUGCCACGAGUGCCGAAUUACCAUUGUCGGCUGUCACUGCUGUUGUGUUGCUGCAGAGUCAUUGAGAAAGGAGUCGAAGGAGUGUCGUUACCAUUUUGCGCGCCUAGGAAACAAAUUCCCGGCUGCGCGACUACCUGCAAAAUCGUUGCUCGGCGGAACGAGCUGAAGGAGGAAGUGUUUGUGUGCCGGCUCGCAGUGCCGAAGGAAAUAGGAGUAACGGCUCGCAGUGCCGCAGGAAGAGUGGUGAUCCGAGGUGGCGAUAUCACAGGUGAGCUUUAGUUAAGGGGGACUGGUGGGUGGAUGAAAUCUAUUUUCCUCGCGCACAAUUGCGCAAAUUAUUAAAUAUGCCUAUUAUAU